GGGAAUGAAGGGGGGUGGCCACACGUCUUCAUGCCCUCCACAUAGCUCAAUAUAGUUUCUUCAAAACCUUCCCAUCCUCCCUCUUGGUCCAAGCCACCUGGAGAAGGCAUGCCACCUCCCAGGAACUCCUGCUGUCCAGCAUUCACUUUUGACUGUGCAUGUCUCAAGAUGUAGUGGAAAUGGUUGCCACUGACUGAUGGGGGAGCCAGGGUCUUCUGAGAGACUGAGGCUUAUCCCCUCAACCAACAUAGAGAUGAGACAACAGCUUGUGAAGAGGUCAGAGACAGGUGCUGGGAUCAAACAAGCCUCACCUCAACUUAGAAACCCAAUUGCUUGAAGUCGAAAUUUGAACCCAAAGCCUGACAAAAAGUAUUUCCUACUGUCCCCAACUUAGCAGUGGCCCUGGAAUUUGGUGUAGGAAGGAAAGAAGCCAGACUACCUGGUAUUGUGCUGGCAUGGUAAGCGGCCAGUGUCAGGGAAUGCCUAUGCCCUAAGAACUUGAAGAGAAGGCUUUGAGAGAGUAUUUAUCUGUACUUUGGUGUGACUACAAAGUACCGUGAGUGAUAUUAAUUGUAAUAAAAUAAUAAUAAUAAUGCCUCUUAUUUAAUAGAUACCUUCAA